UAGGGAAUAUUAGAAAUGGCCGAAAGCCUGAUCUAGCAACACCGCGUGUGCGAAGAAGGCCUUCGGGUCGUAAAGCACUUUUUGGAAGGAAUAGGAAGGAAUGUACUUCCAGAAUAAGUCUCGGCUAACUACGUGCCAGCAGCCGCGGUAACACGUAGGAGGCAAACGUUAUCCGGAUUUACUGGGCGUAAAGCGCGUGUAGGUGGUACUGUAAGUAGGGCGUGAAAGCUCCUGGCUCAACUGGGAGAGGCCGUUCUAAACUACAGAACUAGAGGAUGGUAGAGGGAGGUGGAAUUCCAGGUGUAGCGGUGGUAUGCGCAGAUAUCUGGAGGAACACCGGUGGCGAAGGCGGCCUCCUGGACCAUUCCUGACACUCAGACGCGAAAGCUAGGGUAGCAAACGG
rnacentral:rRNA from 1 species